GGGUUGUGAGGUUAAGCGACUAAGCGUACACGGUGGAUGCCCUGGCAGUCAGAGGCGAUGAAGGACGUGCUAAUCUGCGAUAAGCGUCGGUAAGGUGAUAUGAACCGUUAUAACCGGCGAUUUCCGAAUGGGGAAACCCAGUGUGUUUCGACACACUAUCAUUAACUGAAUCCAUAGGUUAAUGAGGCGAACCGGGGGAACUGAAACAUCUAAGUACCCCGAGGAAAAGAAAUCAACCGAGAUUCCCCCAGUAGCGGCGAGCGAACGGGGAGCAGCCCAGAGCCUGAAUCAGUGUGUGUGUUAGUGGAAGCGUCUGGAAAGGCGCGCGAUACAGGGUGACAGCCCCGUACACAAAAAUGCACAUACUGUGAGCUCGAUGAGUAGGGCGGGACACGUGGUAUCCUGUCUGAAUAUGGGGGGACCAUCCUCCAAGGCUAAAUACUCCUGACUGACCGAUAGUGAACCAGUACCGUGAGGGAAAGGCGAAAAGAACCCCGGCGAGGGGAGUGAAAAAGAACCUGAAACCGUGUACGUACAAGCAGUGGGAGCACGCUUAGGCGUGUGACUGCGUACCUUUUGUAUAAUGGGUCAGCGACUUAUAUUCUGUAGCAAGGUUAACCGAAUAGGGGAGCCGAAGGGAAACCGAGUCUUAACUGGGCGUUAAGUUGCAGGGUAUAGACCCGAAACCCGGUGAUCUAGCCAUGGGCAGGUUGAAGGUUGGGUAACACUAACUGGAGGACCGAACCGACUAAUGUUGAAAAAUUAGCGGAUGACUUGUGGCUGGGGGUGAAAGGCCAAUCAAACCGGGAGAUAGCUGGUUCUCCCCGAAAGCUAUUUAGGUAGCGCCUCGUGAAUUCAUCUCCGGGGGUAGAGCACUGUUUCGGCAAGGGGGUCAUCCCGACUUACCAACCCGAUGCAAACUGCGAAUACCGGAGAAUGUUAUCACGGGAGACACACGGCGGGUGCUAACGUCCGUCGUGAAGAGGGAAACAACCCAGACCGCCAGCUAAGGUCCCAAAGUCAUGGUUAAGUGGGAAACGAUGUGGGAAGGCCCAGACAGCCAGGAUGUUGGCUUAGAAGCAGCCAUCAUUUAAAGAAAGCGUAAUAGCUCACUGGUCGAGUCGGCCUGCGCGGAAGAUGUAACGGGGCUAAACCAUGCACCGAAGCUGCGGCAGCGACGCUUAUGCGUUGUUGGGUAGGGGAGCGUUCUGUAAGCCUGUGAAGGUGUACUGUGAGGUAUGCUGGAGGUAUCAGAAGUGCGAAUGCUGACAUAAGUAACGAUAAAGCGGGUGAAAAGCCCGCUCGCCGGAAGACCAAGGGUUCCUGUCCAACGUUAAUCGGGGCAGGGUGAGUCGACCCCUAAGGCGAGGCCGAAAGGCGUAGUCGAUGGGAAACAGGUUAAUAUUCCUGUACUUGGUGUUACUGCGAAGGGGGGACGGAGAAGGCUAUGUUGGCCGGGCGACGGUUGUCCCGGUUUAAGCGUGUAGGCUGGUUUUCCAGGCAAAUCCGGAAAAUCAAGGCUGAGGCGUGAUGACGAGGCACUACGGUGCUGAAGCAACAAAUGCCCUGCUUCCAGGAAAAGCCUCUAAGCAUCAGGUAACAUCAAAUCGUACCCCAAACCGACACAGGUGGUCAGGUAGAGAAUACCAAGGCGCUUGAGAGAACUCGGGUGAAGGAACUAGGCAAAAUGGUGCCGUAACUUCGGGAGAAGGCACGCUGAUAUGUAGGUGAAGUCCCUCGCGGAUGGAGCUGAAAUCAGUCGAAGAUACCAGCUGGCUGCAACUGUUUAUUAAAAACACAGCACUGUGCAAACACGAAAGUGGACGUAUACGGUGUGACGCCUGCCCGGUGCCGGAAGGUUAAUUGAUGGGGUUAGCGCAAGCGAAGCUCUUGAUCGAAGCCCCGGUAAACGGCGGCCGUAACUAUAACGGUCCUAAGGUAGCGAAAUUCCUUGUCGGGUAAGUUCCGACCUGCACGAAUGGCGUAAUGAUGGCCAGGCUGUCUCCACCCGAGACUCAGUGAAAUUGAACUCGCUGUGAAGAUGCAGUGUACCCGCGGCAAGACGGAAAGACCCCGUGAACCUUUACUAUAGCUUGACACUGAACAUUGAGCCUUGAUGUGUAGGAUAGGUGGGAGGCUUUGAAGUGUGGACGCCAGUCUGCAUGGAGCCGACCUUGAAAUACCACCCUUUAAUGUUUGAUGUUCUAACGUUGACCCGUAAUCCGGGUUGCGGACAGUGUCUGGUGGGUAGUUUGACUGGGGCGGUCUCCUCCUAAAGAGUAACGGAGGAGCACGAAGGUUGGCUAAUCCUGGUCGGACAUCAGGAGGUUAGUGCAAUGGCAUAAGCCAGCUUGACUGCGAGCGUGACGGCGCGAGCAGGUGCGAAAGCAGGUCAUAGUGAUCCGGUGGUUCUGAAUGGAAGGGCCAUCGCUCAACGGAUAAAAGGUACUCCGGGGAUAACAGGCUGAUACCGCCCAAGAGUUCAUAUCGACGGCGGUGUUUGGCACCUCGAUGUCGGCUCAUCACAUCCUGGGGCUGAAGUAGGUCCCAAGGGUAUGGCUGUUCGCCAUUUAAAGUGGUACGCGAGCUGGGUUUAGAACGUCGUGAGACAGUUCGGUCCCUAUCUGCCGUGGGCGCUGGAGAACUGAGGGGGGCUGCUCCUAGUACGAGAGGACCGGAGUGGACGCAUCACUGGUGUUCGGGUUGUCAUGCCAAUGGCACUGCCCGGUAGCUAAAUGCGGAAGAGAUAAGUGCUGAAAGCAUCUAAGCACGAAACUUGCCCCGAGAUGAGUUCUCCCUGACUCCUUGAGAGUCCUGAAGGAACGUUGAAGACGACGACGUUGAUAGGCCGGGUGUGUAAGCGCAGCGAUGCGUUGAGCUAACCGGUACUAAUGAACCGUGAGGCUUAACCUUACAACGCCGAAG
rnacentral:rRNA from 1 species